CAGCCGCCGCGGUAAUACGUAGGUGGCAAGCGUUGUCCGGAAUUAUUGGGCGUAAAGGGCUCGCAGGCGGUUUCUUAAGUCUGAUGUGAAAGCCCCCGGCUCAACCGGGGAGGGUCAUUGGAGACUGGGAAACUUGAGUGCAGAAGAGGAGAGUGGAAUUCCACGUGUAGCGGUGAAAUGCGUAGAGAUGUGGAGGAACACCAGUGGCGAAGGCGACUCUCUGGUCUGUAACUGACGCUGAGGAGCGAAAGCGUGGGGAGCGAACAGGAUUAGAUACCCGGGUAGUCCCUGUCUCUUAUAA
rnacentral:rRNA from 1 species